rnacentral:lncRNA from 1 species
GAGAGAAUGCUUCAUGUGCAUUUGAAUGUGUAUUCUGAUUAUUAUGAAUGUUACAUACUGAAAAAAUCAAUUCUAACUGUUCUUUUGUAUCAUUUGGGAUCUCUGUUGGAUUAUUAAUUUUCCGUCUGGAAGGUAAAUUCAUUGAUGUGCGAGGUGUUAAAGCCUACAACUAUCAAUGCAUUUCUAUCAAUUUCUCCUUUUAUGUCUGUUAUUGUUUUGUGUAUUUAAGUGUUCCUAUAUUGGGUACAUAUAUGUUAAGGAGUGUUAUAUACUGUUUUUGAAUUGAUCCUUCUAACAUUAUAUAGUGUACUUUAUCUUUCUUUAUGACCUUUGGUUUAAAGUCUAUUUUGUAUCAUCUGAGUUUGUUACUACCAACUUUCUUGUCAUUUCCAUUUCCAUGAAAUAGCUUUUUCCAUCCCUUCACACUUAAUCUCUCUGUGUCCUUUGCCCUAAAGUUGGUCUCUUGAUGACAACAUAUUAUAGGGUCUUUUUUUUUUUUAAUUCUAUUUGGCACUCUCUGUCUUUGAAUUGGAAUGUUUAGUCUGUUGACAGUUAAGGUAAUUAUUAGUAGAUCAUAUUUAUUACCAUUUUAAACCUUUCCAGCUUAUUUUGUAUUUCUUCUGUGUUCCCUUAUCCUUUUAUUUUCAUUUUUGGAUUGGCGGUUUUCUUUUAUAUUAUGCUUGUUCUCUUAUUUUUGAAAUUUGUGAAUCUAUGAUAUGUAUUUGAUUUGUGUUUACUCUGUUUUUGAAAUUCUAACACAAUAUUGUAUCUACUUGAUUUAGACUGGUAUUGAUAUAGGCUCAAACACAUGAUAAAGAAAUCUAAUUUUCUUAUUAUCCUCUCCCAUAUUUUAUGAACUUGAUGUCCUCUUUUAUAUCUUCAUGUCUAUCCUUUUGCUGUUCAUUGUAGUUAUCAUCACUUUUCACACAAUUAUUUUAAAGAUAUUUUUAAGCUGUAUACUGGCUUACUUAAGUAAAUUGACUUCCAAUUGUGAUUUUUUUCUCCUUCUUAUUGAUUCUUGAUUCUUUCCUAUUUGGAGAAGCCAUGUCAGUAUUUCUCUUAGGAUAGGUUUAGUAUUGAUGGAUUCUUUCAGUUUUUGCUUGCUGGAAAAUUCUUUCUCCCAUUAUCUUCUAAAUGAUAGUUUUGCUAUAUAAAUUAUUGUAGGCUAUAUAUUUUUCCAUAUCAGGACUUUAAGUAUAUCUUGCCACUACCUUCUGGCUAGCAACAUUCCUAUAGAGCCUGAUAGCCUCAUGGGAUUACCCUUGUAAUUAACUAUGGUUUUCCUCUUGCUGCCCUUAGAAUCCUUUCUUUAACUUUUGCCAUUUCAUUUAUGUCUUGGUAUUGGUCUGUUUGGGUUCAUCUUUUCGGAGACUCUGUGCUUCCUAUACCUGGAUAUCUGUCUCCUUCUUCAGGUUUGUGAAGUUUUCAGCCAUAAUUUCUUCAAAUACCUUUUCAACCCCCCUUUCUCCUUCUUUAAUUCCUAUUAUGCACAUAUUAGGAUGCUUUAUAUUAUCCCAUAGGUCUUCUAUAUUGCUUUUAUUUUUUUAUUAGUUCUUCUGUUUGUUUUGAUUGGGUGAUUUCCAAUCUUCCAUCUUCUGGAAUACUCACUCAUUCUUCUCCAUUAUCCACUUUGUUCCUUAUUUCCUUUAACUAAGCUUUUGUCUGGGCAAAUGUGUUUUCUAAUUUUAAUGGGAUCCUCUUUAUAGUUUCUAGUUCCUUUUUAAAGUAAUCUGCAUUUAUAUCAAUAGCCUGUCUUAAUUCCUUCGGUAUUUUUAUUUCCUUUUUCAACUUGGUGUCUAUUAGAUGGAAGAGGUCUAUUUCAUUGUUUGUUCUUUCAGGGAAUUUCUCAUGAUCUUUUUAUUGGAAAGAGCUCCUCUACUUCUUCAUUUUACUUAUAUUUCUCUGACUCCAAGAGUUUAGUAUAAACAGUUAUCUACUGCUGUCUUGAAGGGCUAUUUUUAUGUGGGAGCAUCCUUAUGCAACAUGUGUGGGUUAAAUAUUUUUGGGUGUGAGAGCUUUUUUAGUAUGGAUGUCUGCUGCCUCUUUCCUCAGUGUGUGCUGGCUGUUAUUCCCCAUUAUAGAGGGUAUGAUUUGGGUUUUGGUGAUCAGAGCCCACACUGGAUGUUGAGUGUGGACUCCUCUUCGCUCUGUGAUUAUCAUAGCUCUUUGAGGGGGCAUAAUCUGCUCCCACUUACUGGAAUAAAAAACCCCAGAUGGUUUCUAAACUGCAGUAUGAGGAAGGCAGAACUGGACUACUCUUAAUAGGAGAGGAGCCACUGAAUAUUCCCCUACAGGAGCUGUCCACUGGGAAGCACACUGUGUUGUGUUGCCUAUAACCCAUUGUGUAGGCUCACAAAAUAGACUGUUUUUGGCACUGCAUUAAGCCCUACUUCAACUAUGGGAAUUCAUACAAUCGGCUCACAUGUCCCCCAGAUGCUGUAUGCAUGAAGCCACUAGACAGUCUUUUGGCUUGGAACUGCUGAGACACUAGGACUACCAUAGUAGCACACCUGGACCCACUGUGAGAGAUACUGGGUCAGCCCAGAUCCUGGCCCCACCUCCCCAUGUGCACACCUGCAUAGCCCAAAGCCACUAUAGCUGGACCUGUCCCAGCCUGGGGAGCACCAGUAAUCUUCUUACAUGACCCAGUGGUGCUGAAUUGACAAAGCAGUAGGUGGCAACACUGCUACAGGACUCAGAUUUCAGCCCUCCUUCCAAAAUCACUUGACUCCUGGGAAUUGGCUUGGAUUUCAUUCCUGCCUUUGUAUAUGGGAAACUCCUGGCUUCUUGUGCACUCACAGAACUUGUUGGGACAGAGAUGUGCACACUGUGAGUGUGCAGAGAAUGAAGCUGGGAUUGCAUGGCCUGCCCCUCCCUUUGAGCAUGCAUGUUAACAACAGGGCUUUAAUAGGAGACCUAGGCUUCUUCCUGCACACAUCCCCAUUUGCAACUUGAACCAAAUUCCAGCCCCUUCAGGAUUUGUCAUUGCAUAGCCAACCAUAGUCUGCUCCCUGCAGUCUGUCUGCUGAUGCCUGAGUUUUGGCCCCCAGCUCUUGCAUUCCCCAGUAGAUGCACAUCUCAGGCUGGGGAGUGCAGGGAGAUGGCAUGGACCCUUGUGCUGGUUUGUCUCUGUUCUGCCUUCAAGAAGCCAAUGGUCCCACUCUCCUAUGAACCUUUGAAGUUAUUUUUCUGCCCCAGCUGAUCUCUCUGCCCAUGAAUGGGCUUCCCAGGGUGAGGGUACUUUAAUUUUCACAGUCCCCUCCCAUGGGUUUAGGUCCCAUACCAAUUUUUUUUUUCAUACCUAGUUGUUUUUUACUGCAAUUUUUGUUUUAUGAGAUCUUCUUCCAGAAUUCAGCGUGUAUUCUGUGAGAAUUGUUCCUCAUGUAGAUGUAUUUCUGAUGUCUUUGUGGGAGGAGGUGAGCUUAACGUCCUUCUCUUCUGUUGUCUUGAUCCGGCCUCCCAUGUGUUUUUAAAGUAUAUAAUAGAAAUUUGGAUCCCUCCAGUAAUAGGUGGCAUAGGAAGACCCUGAACUCACCUCCACCUAAAAACAUUACUGAAACUAAACCUUCAUAAAUUGCAAUUCCUCCUAAAGAAGACCUGAGCCCUGAUUGAACAGCUACUGCACAUAAGGGCAAUGUAGAAACAGGGAAGGGAGGGCAAUAGAGAGAAUACAUGAUAACCCCACCCCUGAGAUGGCAACCUUCAGUAUGGAGAGAUACUGCUGAUGAGCCCAAGUGCACACUUGCCUAUUGUGGAAUGCAGUUUAAAAACAGCAGUUUAAAGGGCAUCUAGACUAUGUAAGAAGGAAAUCCCUUUUCCAACCUUAGAGCUUCUGCCAAAUGGGCAGGUAAAUGCUAGAGCCCUCUCGGAGGUUACUGAAACUACAGAGCAGUGUUGUUUGAGGACCCCGGGCCUAUACCAAUUGUGACUACACUGCCAAAGUGGCCUAGGCCCAGAGAUUGCCCCUGGCCUGAUCCCACUCCAGCUCCAGCCACGCUCCCAAGGCACCCUUGGACACAGUGCUGCCCAGGAACUUCCCACCACCCAUGGCUGUUAAUAGCCAUCCUGCCAAAAUCUACAGGCACAAGCAUUCUACACAGGGCAUGCUGCCACACAAGGUCACUCCUUCAACACCAGGUAUAGAUAACUUUUUUAUGUAAUUCAUAGACAAAAUAGAAUCUGAGAAAAGUAAAAUUAAAAAAAUAAAAUCUUAAUGAAAUGGGGAUAAGUACUUUAUGUGAUAAAGAGUUCAAAGAAAUGGUCAUAAGGAUUAUCACUGAAUUCAGGAGAAGAAUGUCAGAACUCCAGGAAGAACUUCAUCAGAGAGUUAGACAGUACAAGAAAGAACCAUACAAUAACUGAGAUUUAAAAACAAACUAGCCUGGGGGAAAUAAACAGAAGAUCAGAUCAUACCAAAGAACAAAAAAAAAGUGAUUAGGUAAUUUUCACUAUCCUCCCAAUCAGAACAAAAAAAAAAAAAAAAAAAGAGAGAGAGAGAGAAGGAAAAUAAAUGAGGACGGUUUAAGGCACUUGUGGGACAACAUCAAGCAUACUAAUACUUUUAUUAAAUGGGUAUUAUUAGUAGGAGAAGAGAAAGAGAAAGGGACAGAGGGACAGAAAACUUAAUUGAAGAAAUAGUGGCUGAAGACUUCCCGAAAGUCUUUUUGCAGACGGGGGUGGAGUUGUAUUCUUUGUUUUUCUGUUGUUUUUUGUUCUUUGUUUUUCUGUUUUGUUUUUGCUUGAGAGGGAAACAGGUAUGCAAGUACAAAAACCACAGAGUUUCAAACCAGAUGAACUCAAAGAGAUCCACUCUAAGAUGUAUCAUAAUUAAAAAUGCAAAAGUUAAAGCUAAUGAGAGGCUUCUAAAGGCAGCAAGAGAAAAGCAAAGUAUUAAUUAUAAGGGAA